UACGUAGGGGGCAAGCGUUGUCCGGAAUCAUUGGGCGUAAAGCGCGUGUAGGCGGUUCCGCAAGUCCGGUGUGAAAGCCCAGGGCUCAACCCUGGAAGUGCACAUGAUACUACGGAGCUUGAGUACUGAAGAGGAGAGCGGAAUUCCCGGUGUAGAGGUGAAAUUCGUAGAUAUCGGGAGGAACACCAGUGGCGAAGGCGGCUCUCUGGGCAGAUACUGACGCUGAGACGCGAAAGCAUGGGGAGCAAACAGG
rnacentral:rRNA from 1 species